rnacentral:rRNA from 1 species
GGCUCAGAUUGAACGCUGGCGGCAGGCCUAACACAUGCAAGUCGAGCGGUAACAGAUCUAGCUUGCUAGAUGCUGACGAGCGGCGGACGGGUGAGUAACGCGUAGGAAUUUGCCGAAUAGUGGGGGAUAGCCCGGGGAAACUCGGAUUAAUACCGCAUACGCUCUACGGAGGAAAGCAGGGGAUCUUCGGACCUUGCGCUAUUUGAUAAGCCUGCGUGGGAUUAGCUAGUUGGUGAGGUAAGGGCUCACCAAGGCGACGAUCCCUAGCUGGUCUGAGAGGAUGAUCAGCCACACUGGAACUGAGACACGGUCCAGACUCCUACGGGAGGCAGCAGUGGGGAAUAUUGCACAAUGGGCGCAAGCCUGAUGCAGCCAUGCCGCGUGUGUGAAGAAGGCUUUCGGGUUGUAAAGCACUUUCAGUUGGGAGGAAAAGUUGUAGUUUAGUAAACUAUAGCCCUGACGUUACUAACAGAAGAAGCACCGGCUAACUCCGUGCCAGCAGCCGCGGUAAUACGGAGGGUGCAAGCGUUAAUCGGAAUUACUGGGCGUAAAGCGCGCGUAGGUGGUUUGCUAAGCGAGAUGUGAAAGCCCCGGGCUCAACCUGGGAACUGCAUUUCGAACUGGUAGGCUAGAGUAUGGUAGAGGUAAGUGGAAUUUCCUGUGUAGCGGUGAAAUGCGUAGAUAUAGGAAGGAACACCAGUGGCGAAGGCGACUUACUGGACCAAUACUG